AUUGAACGCUGGCGGUAGGCUUAACACAUGCAAGUCGAACGUGAAAGGUCUUCGGACUGAGUAGAGUGGCGGACGGGUGAGUAACGCGUAGGAAUCUACCUAGUAGUGGGGGACAACAUGGUGAAAACCAUGCUAAUACCGCAUACGCCCUAUGGGGGAAAGCGUGGGAUCUUCGGACCACGCGCUAUUAGAUGAGCCUGCGUAAGAUUAGCUUGUUGGUGAGGUAAAGGCUCACCAAGGCGACGAUCUUUAGCUGGCCUGAGAGGAUGAUCAGCCACACUGGGACUGAGACACGGCCCAG
rnacentral:rRNA from 1 species